UUGGAGGGCAAGUCUGGUGCCAGCAGCCGCGGUAAUUCCAGCUCCAAUAGCGUAUAUUAAAGUUGUUGCAGUUAAAAAGCUCGUAGUUGAAUUUCGGGAUUCUUCCGUUGGUCAGGCUAACAAGUCUGUACUAGCGUGUAGAAUCUCUACCUUCUGGGGAACCAUCAUGUUAUUAAUUUAGCGUGGUGGGAAACCAGGACCUUUACCUUGAAAAAAUUAGAGUGUUCAAAGCAGGCUUACGUCUGAAUACAUUAGCAUGGAAUAGUAAAAUAGGACGGUGGUCCUGUUUUGUUGGUUUCUGAAUCACCGUAAUGAUUAAUAGGGAUAGUUGGGGGCAUUAGUAUUCAAUUGUCAGAGGUGAAAUUCUUGGAUUUAUUGAAGACUAACUUCUGCGAAAGCAUUUGCCAAGGAUGUUUUCAUUAAUCAAGAACGAAAGUUAGGGGAUCGAAGACGAUCAGAUACCGUCGUAGUCUUAACCAUAAACUAUGCCGACUAGGGAUCGGACGAUGUUAAAUUUUAUUGACUCGUUCGGCGCCUUACGGGAAAC
rnacentral:rRNA from 1 species